CCCUCCCUCGGCGGUGGCGCGGGCGGCGCGGACGCGGGCUGCCAGCCGCAGACUAAACUUUGGCUGUUCCGCACCAUUUCAAGUCAAAAGUAAUAUGUAGCCUUGCGUUUAACCUAACUGGGGGCUCUUCUUAAGAGGAGAAACAGUUACGAUGGGUCGGUUGGGCUCCUCCUCAGGGAAGUCCCUACAUUGUCUUCUCACCUUUGCCUUGGAAGGGGUCAGUGCAGGCCCUCCUCCUCCUGCUUCCCACGAAGACCCUCCUGGGAGACCGGUAGGGACCCUGGGGAGCCACUUGUCUGGCCUACUUGGAUUUACAGCCCUGACCACAGUGCCACCAAGCUGCCGCUCCUCUGUCACUCAUCCAUCCCUCAUCCUACGCCUCCUUCCACCCACCGGUCGAUCCUUCCAUCCAUCAUCCACCCAUCUACCCACCCAUCCAUCAAUCCAUCGUCCAUUCGUCCAUCCUUUUAUCCACCCACAUCUGUCCAUGUUUCUAGGUUUUCUCCCUAAUCUGCAUUCCUUGUAGAGCGAGGAGUGGGUGGUGACUGUUAGCGAUGGAACACUUGAAUUUCAUCCUAGGUCCUUGUAGCAGAACUGGGAUUUGCAGUGCUAUACUGCCUUCCAGAAAUGGCCCGGCCGGGGCACCUUUCUCUGGAACCCCCGAGGGCAGGGCUGCCUCCCUGUAGUAAGCUGCGUUCCUGUGAGUGUUCAGUUUGGGUUCUUUUCCUUUGUGUCUCAAUUUUAAUUGCUUUGAAAAGGAAUGUUAAGGAUAUUUUGCAAUAGCUUCCCUGCUCCCUACUGUAGGAGACCCAGCUUCUCUCUAAGCUGGUCAAGGGGGUAUCAGGGAGCAAGAGAUGCCAGCCUUGGGUGGUCUAAAGCUGGUGCUCUGUCUGCUUCCCCUGCAGGCUGGCCUAAGCUGCCCAGGCCAGUGGAGACAGACAUCAGGGAGGGGAGCAGGAUGUGGGGGGAGGAGGGCUCCCAGACCCUGGCUGCUAAGGGAGCUGUCUUCAGCGGGCUCCUUGUUCCGCCCCAUCCUGCUGCAGUCAGAGGACUAGGAAAAGUACCGGGCACUCACUUCCACAAGUCAGAGGCAAGCUCAGCUCUACGAUUUCAAAAGCUUAUUGUCCCCAAAGCAGGAUUACCAGGGAAAGCAUCCACCAGGUAACUGUUUGCUGGGAGAAGCUGUGGUCCAAGUAGAGGGUUUUCCUCUGCUGGAAAUGGCCGUGUUUCCUCUUGUGGGGCCCUGUGUUGCUUACACAGAACAGCCAGACUGAGUUUACUGUUCUGUUAAAAUGAGGCAAAGAAGAUACUGUCCGCUUACAAAAUUAAGUUAAAUAUUCUGUGAAUUUCCUACAUACAAUUGCUCUUUAUUUUCAAGUUUCACCAUGUUUUAUAAUUAAAGUUGAAAUUCAGAAUAAAAAAAUCAGUUACGACCUUUUUUUUUUUUCUUUUUUUUGGAGAGAGAGAAUGGCAGGUUUUGUCUUGGAAGGAGGGCUGGAAGUUUCCCUCAACUUGCUAGUAGAACAUAUUCCCAGGCAGAGAAGGUUUGUGUAUUGUAUUCCAAGUAACAGAAGUGCUUGAGGGAAUUCCCUGGCGGUCCAGUGGUUAGGACUGUGUGCUUUCACUGCCGUGGGCCCGGGUUCAGUCCCUAGUUGGGGAACUAAGAUCCCACAAGCUGCACGGCACAGCCGAAAACAAAAGUACUUGAAAUCAGCUUUUUUGUGCUAGCUUUUGAAAGCUGCAGACAGGCAAUAGUGGAGGGGUGACCGCCACACAGCUUAGAGGUAGCCUUCUCAAAAUUUAGCUUUGCUUGCUCCGUCUUCAGUUUUCUUUAAUGAGUAUUUCAAAGCCAAAUAGUGAGACAGAAACUGAGAGUGUUCAUGUUGAUUUGCCUUAAAAACCUGAAACUCACGAGAGUGCUUGGCCGUGGCGGAAGGUCAUGGUGACGAGUCUGUCCCCAGUGCCCCCACAGCCCUGCUGCUCUGGAUCUGGGGAUCUGCAUUCUCCACCGGCUCUGGGGAUGGUGGCCACGUGGCGUGAGAGCUGCUCAGGAAUGGGGACCUGGCUGUGACGGGGGUCUCUGCUGGGACUGCUCGGGGUGGGCGGGCGCAGUGUCCGUGUCUGUCCCCCCCCCCCCGCCCCCGCUUCACCGCCACGUGGAACUCGUGGCCUGUCUGUCCCGCCUGCGCCUGGUCUGGAGGAGGCCUGAGGGUGGUGCUGUGCGGCGACGGGGGUCAACCCUGGCGGGCUGGCUGUCCAGGGAUGUUGGAGGGUUUUGUGUGGAACGUGCUAACUGAGGACUCGGCGGGCCUCGGGUGUUUAACCAGCUACGUGGCGAGACCUUCCAGCCGACUGUGGAGGUGACGGAGGUGGGUAAUGCCUAACAUUUUUUUGCUCAGCACUCAGCGGUGAGUCAGGCUGUGCGGUUAGGACAGCCUCAGAGGCGUAGGGCCUUGUGUCACCCCGUGUUAGAAGGGUUCAGUGCCUUCAGGCCACAGUCACUGCUGGGCAGGGAGCUGUGCUUCAGCAGGCCAGCCUGGGGGUUCUGGGUCCCCACCUCUGCCCUGAGCAUCUCUCAGGGUCCCUUCCGAACCAUGCUGUGUUCUGACUUUGUCCCAAACACAGUGGUCUGAGGAGGGGGAACCCUCGCAGGCCACCUUCUGAGAUCGUCGUGACCCCACCCACUCACCCAGCCUCUGGGCGGUGGGGCACUGCCCAUGGGCUGCUCCCUUCCGUAGAUGUGAGUCGGCCAGCAUCUUUUGUGGAGCGUGGCACGAAUUAACAGUCACUUAGGCUUUGGAACAUUUGCGGGGAAUAAUUUGGGCUGACUUUGAGCCUGUAUGUGUUCUGGCCUGCCCGUGGGGGCGCGGCGGGGGGCAGUAUCUAUAAAGUGUUUUAGAUUUAAUGUGGUAACCACCCCUGUCACAUCGGUUAUUGAUGCAUUUUUGUUUAUUAUGAAGGUAUAAUUUGAUGCAAUGAAAUGAACAGAUGUUAGUUGCGCAGUUCAGUGAAUUCUGACAAAUGCAUCUUCUCGUGUGACCCAGGCGCCCAUCUGGAGGGAGCUGUAUUCCCACCGUCCCAGGGAGUUCCCGCCAGUCGUGACUCGUCAGUGGCAACAACUUGGGUUAGCUUUGCCUGUUCAUGACUGUGGAGGUGAAUGAAGGCUGCCUUGCGAGAAGAGCAGAGGCUGUUUAUUCCAAGCUGCUGCGGCUGGGGAGCCGCCACCACCACUGCCACCACCGGGCUGAGCAGGGACUCGGGCAGCAGGGGAGUGGGAGCGCUUGCCAGUGGAGAGGGGGCUCGGGGUCCUGCUGGGGGCUGCGGGGCUGGGGAAGCUGGACGGCUGACGAGACCCGGGCGCCACUGCGAUGGCUGGGGCACGUCUGGUUUUCUCCGGUUGGUCCUCAGUCAGAAGCGAGAACAAAGACCAUGGACGCCGUGGGUUAUUGAUCAAGCCAGGCCAUUGUGGGGGGUGUCACAGGGCGGUUGUAGGGCUUCCUGGGCUGUCGCUAGAGAUGGAGGUCUGACUUCCUGCAGGUCUGGCGCGGAGGGAGCAGGUUGCUUCCUGGGCUGGUGCCUGUGAUGGUGGCUGGGUGUCCUCGCUGUGUCCGUUCAGUCUCAGAGCAAAUAGCCGUGAGCGUGCCCUCUGCCCUUCUUUCCUGGCAGUGCUGCCCCAGGUGCUGACCACACCAAGCUGCAGCCGGCCCCGAGCUCAGCCCCCGGGGCCCCCACUGGGUUGACCACUCGUGAGUUCGUGGGCUGGGUGUUCUGAGGACCCCUCGAGGAAAGGGAGGUGGGGUCCCAGGGCUUCCCAUGUAGCUUCCUGGCUGUGGGUCGGCCAUGGUCACCCGCCCGGCCCCGCCAUCCCGAGUGGCUGCUGACCUGAGCUGCAUGGGGCCCACGGAGGGUGGCUCCACUUCCUCUGUUGGUAAACUCAGGCUUAACUGUGUUAUUCGAGGGAGUUUGGUUUGGGCCUUAAAUAAUCUUUUUUUUUUUUGGCCACGCUGCAGGGCUUAUGGGAUCUUAGUUCCCUGACCAGGGAUGGAACCUGGGCCCUCGGCGGUGAGAGUGCGGAGUCUUAACCACUGGACCACCAGGGAAGUCCCUGGGCCCUAAAUUAAAUUGGUCGCUGUGCAGAGUCAGGAUUUUAGGUUUGGUCGAAAAGAUGCUAAAAGCCAGAGGUGAUUAGAGGAACCCUUGAAACUUAAUUUUUUCCCCCCAACACAGGGUGUCUUUUUAUAGACAUAAUUCAUAUUAACUAUAAAUUAAUUAUAGUUAAUUAUAAAUUAGUUUAUAUUAUAAAUAAAUUAUGUCUUUAUUGACACUAUUUAUAGUAAUUCUCAAUAUGCUUAGAAAAUUUAAGCCAGUGACUUUUACACAAGUAACUGGGGAAAAAAGACUGUAAAAGUUGAAUUUGCAGCCAAGACAAAAAACUUGAAUCCUUUAUUACUAGAAGUCACUGAAGUAUUUUCCCUGUAUUUUGGUGGUAAGCUGCUGCUUUUGUAACGCUGCAUGCACAGUGAGGCCAAACAAACUGAAACACCAGAGUUUGGAGCAGAGAAAGGUUUAUUGCAGGCUCGUGCCCUCGAGCUCCCUGAAGGCUUUUGGCAAAGCAUUUUUAAAGGCAAAGCAUUUUUAAAGGCAAAGCAUUUUUAAAGGCCGGUUGAGGGAGUGGUGGUUGCAGGGUAUGUGAUCAGGUCGUGCGCAAUUUUCUGAUUGGCUGAUGCUGAGGGAACAGGGUGGUGUCACAGGGGUUCAUGUCAUCAGUCCUUAGGCUCCAGGAGGCCUGGGGCUACGCGCCCAUGGUUAUCAAGUAGUUAACAUCUUCCAUUUGGUGGGGGAGGUUUUCACAUCUGCAAAACAACUUCAGGAAAUGUGCAUCAAUUACUAUCGUCUGGGUACUUCUGAGAGGAGCUAAAGCAGAGGAUAUGGGGGAAGGCCUGUACCGGGAAGACCCCCAUGGAGUCCUGCCCGGUUACACUGUCAUUCACUUAAAGACAGUUAAUAAGUGGGUGUGUGCAAGGUGUUAUGAUUGGCUGUGGCCUGGGGGUUAUGUUGAUAAGUUAGACCUGUUUGCUGUUCUGGGGAAAUUAGUCUUGAGGGGAAUGAGCUAUAGUCACUUAGUCUUUAAACUUUUUGUUUUGAAAUAUCAGUAGUUAUGGGUCCAGGGCAGUUGUAAAGAAGUGUCCUGGAGGGACAUCCUUGCCCUGCCGCCCAGCGUGGGCGUCUGCGUGAGAUGCACAGUUACGCAUCCCCACCAGGAAGCUGGCUUCCGAGCAGCCACGGAGCUGAUUCGGAUUGAGAGAGAGUGUGUGCGCGUGUGCAGUUCUGUGCAGUCGGAGCUCCCGUGGCACUUCCUGGACCCCCCACCGUGGUCCCCACACGGAGCCAUAUCCUUACCCCAGAGAGCCCGUUGGGCUCACCCUUGGCCGCGCACCCAUCUGUUGUGUUAGGGUCCUUACAGAGGUGGAGACUGCCCUGGGCAGCCUUCUGAGAUUGGCCUUCUCGCUCUGCGUGACCCCCUUGAGACCCACCCGAGUACCCCAGCUACUGGUCGCUCCGGCGCGCUGUGUGCGGCACCUGAGCGGCAGCCUCUCCCCACUUGGAGGGCUCGGUUUCCAGUCUGGGGCUCUUACGAGUGGAGCUGCUGUGAACAUUCUUGUACAUAUUUUUGUAUGAACAUUGGUUUUCAUUUCUCUGGGAUAAAUGCCCAAGAAGUCACUUGUAAAAAGUUUUUUCAAUGUUAAGUCCACAGGAGGUGAGAGCUGCGACGUUGAAAGGAGAUUCAGAGGCCGGGGGACCUUCUUCUGUCCGUUUAAGGCUGUGGCUGGUGGGGCUCGGGGCAGGUGGGGGCGGGGCUGCUGCUUCCUUCACCACAGAGCUUCCCAUCAGCAGGUCAGCACAGGCGCUGCCCCCUGGUCCCAGAGCCCCUGGCCACGCCACAGUCAUAGGCCAGCAGCAGCCACAGGAAGCUACAGGAUUGUUUUGUUUCUUGAAGAAGGAAAUCCAAAAAUUUGCGUAUUUAAAAGAUUCUAACCCUCUUGGGACUUCCCUGGUGGCACAGUGGUUAGGAAUCCGCCUGCCAUGCAGGGGACACGGAGUCGAGACCUGGUCCAGGAAGAUCCCACAUGCUGCGGAGCAACUAAGCCCAUGCGCCACAACUACUGAGCCUGCGCUCUAGAGCCUGCGAGCCACAACU